rnacentral:tRNA from 2 species
GGCGACAUAGCCAAGUGGUAAGGCACAGGUCUGCAACACCUUUAUCACCAGUUCGAAUCUGGUUGUCGCCUCCA